rnacentral:ncRNA from 2 species
UACAGUCAAGGCGAUGAUGUCCGCCGCCCCGUGACCGCACGGGGGAACCGUCCGAGGGGACUAAUGACCUCUACCUUAAG